GUAGACAUGGAUGCCCUGGAAGUACCUCUUCACGGCCACGGGUGGGGCCCGUCCUUCCCAGGGCAGAGUCUUCCUCUCCCGUCACCUGCCCCAGGCAGGCAUCCAGGUGGUCCAGCUGCUGAUGGAGUCCAGUGCGGAGCUGCUCCAGGAGGGUGGUGUUCCAGGCAGCAGAGGAGCGCUCUGUGUGGAAGAGGUUGAAGCUCUGCUGGAGCAUCUCGUGGAGCACAGAGACGGCCUGGGCCUCCUGGAGCUGGCCCCCCUCCACCAUCUCCUGGGGGAAAGCGAAGUCUUUUCUGUCCUGCAGACACAAGCGAGGGGAGAGUCUCCUCAUUUGGCCCAGGAGCCUGAGGUUCUUCCUGCCAACCAGCACGUGGUUCUGAGACAGGUCACAGCCCAGGGAUCCUCCCGGGCCGUAGCUGACCAGCACCAGGGCCACGAGUAG
rnacentral:lncRNA from 1 species